GCAGACACAUUCCAGCCAAUCAGCAGCAGACCCUCCCUCCCAGACCCUCCCACCUCCUGGACAGCUCACAGUGAAGCUGCAUUCUUAAGUGGAUGCUGUCCAGGAGGUGGGAGGGUCUGGGAGGGAGGGUCUGCUGCUGAUUGGCUGGAAUGUGUCUG
rnacentral:miRNA from 1 species